CCAGCUCCUCCCGCCUCACUGCCUCCUCCUCUCCCCUCCCGCGCGCCUCCUCUCCCCUCCCCUCCCACGCGCCUCUCUCCUCCCACCCACAUCGCCGCCGCCGCCACCCACCGCCUCGAACCGCGCCGUCGGCGGCCAGAUCCGCUGCAACAGAGCCCCCCCCCCCCCCCCCACCCUCCCCGGCCGACGGGAAGAGCGUAGGAACCAGAUCCCAUCUGAUAGAAGGAGGCGCAUGGGGUGUGGGGUGCUCCAUUCUGGGAGAGGAAGACUGAGGGGACCAGACCCAUCUCACAGAAGGAGGCGCAUGGGGUGUGGGGUGCUCGACCCCGAUUCGUCAAGGAGCACGAUGGCUCGCCACGAUCUGCAAUGGCCUGACGAACGAGGCGAUCCUUGGAAGCAGCACGUACACCUCUCUCUCUCUCUCUCUCUCACUCAGAUUCCAAGUGUAGCUCUGAUUGGGGAAAAGUGGAAGAUGGUUAUCCAGGAGUUCGCCGUCGAUCUCAACAAGCCACUUGUUUUCCAGGUUGGCCACCUUGAGGAACAUUACCAGGAAUGGGUUCACCAGCCUGUCGUGAGCAAAGAAGGUCCACACUUUUUCGCAAAUGAUACCAUGGAGUUCUUGACACGCACAAAGUGGUGGGCUGUGCCAGUCAUAUGGCUACCUGCAGUCUGCUGGCUGUUUGCCAAGUCGAUACGGAUGGGUCACACCAUUCAGGAAGUAAUCCUGAUGGCCCUAUUUGGAGUGUUUGUGUGGACGUUGAUCGAGUACAGUUUGCACCGCUUCCUGUUCCACAUCGAGAGGAAAAGCUAUUGGUAAGAGCUUAUCAACCUUGACCUGGCAAUGUUUUUAUCGGGAUUCUCCUCAUGCUUGUAAAUUGCACCACCAUGGUCCUUCGAAGGCAAGCCCACUUCUUGAGGCCUACUUAUUAUUUCUAUUGUUGCUAAUCUUUUUCCCCAUUGACACCUCUACCAGAUCAGCCGUAGCAGCGAAGCCGAACUCCUAAGAAAAUAAGAGGUGGGCAAGAACAGAAGAGAGAUGUAGUGCUUCUGUACUGAUAUCGGUUUGCAUCUAUACUGACUAGAAAAUGAGAGUGAGAGAGAGAGAGAGCUUUGGUACUGAUAUUUGUUGAGAGAGAGAGAGAGAGUACGAAGUGACAUAGGUAUUAAUUAUAAAGUGAAAACCUUCCUUCUGAAUACACUGUUAUACUGUACCAUUUUGCUUUGGUGUCUCCAACCACCUUCCUUUUUUUGAUAAUACAACCAUAUUAGGCAGUACUAUUCAGCUCACAUCUUCAAAUGUUAUUCAGCAGACACAAGCAUGACUAAUUAUGUGUAUGAAAGCAUCUGUUGAUGUAUCACCUUCGACUGCUUCCAUGUUUUUCUCAGCCUCCCCACUUCACGAGUGCCAGCCUGCGAAGUACCCUUCCCUCCAAGAGUUCUUAUCAAGCUUUCUUCAUACUUACUGUUGUUGAACAUUCCGGGUGAAAAAAACCUCAUGUAGAUUGCCGAUUAAGAGCUCAGCUAGAGCUGACCUUGAUUAAGAUUCCUUUUUGUUAUAGAUUCUUUACAUGUUCAAGUAAAUUAAUUUCUGAUAGAGCAGGGAGGUGAGACACAUCCUGAGACAUGACAGAUUGAUGGAUGGAGAGCUAGCUAGGUGCACCACCACUGUAAUAAACUUUGAGUAAUCAGACAAUCUGAAUGCACUGCUUAAACUUUAGCAAUCAGCAAUCCAUAGCAACAUGUCAUUCUCUUUCAUUAGUGCCACUGCAUGCCUGACCCUCCUGUAGGUUGUUUCAUUGACUAUUUAGAUUGAUUUAAUUAUGUAAGAAGCCAAUUAUUUGUUAUGGAGUAUGUCGUGCUGCAUUAUUUCUAAGUUCAUAUUCUAUUCAAAAGCACUUCAUCGAUAUGAUAAAAAGGUUCAUAAUAGAAUAUGUUACUUCAUUUCUAGGUGUAAUAAGGGUCCAUAUUUUGUUGUAUUAACUAGAGCACCAUGGACACCUCAGCCAUCAUUCUUUCUAGGUUGGGCAUACAUAAAUAAAUAGCACUCUUGGUUUCAAAGUGUAUGUUUCAUGGGCCUUGGUUUAAUUUAAGAGAUUCCUAGCAGACUCUUUUUAUCCGACGGCCGAUUUUGGAUCAUAGUUUCAACUUUAAGCCAAGAAGAUGACUAAUUGCUGAUCGGUUAUGGUACAUGGGGGAUUGCUGUGUCUCCUGGCAAGCUGUGUAAUUUCGUACGGGUGUGUGCUGACCUUGUUUUGAUCUUACUGAUGCAGGGUAAGGAGGUAAAAGUCGCGGGUGGUCAGGGCUGCCAGAUAUGUGGUGACACUGUUGACGUUUCGGCCACCGGCGAUGUCUUUGUCGCCUGCAAUGAGUGCGCCUUCCCGGUCUGCCGCCCUUGCUAUGAGUACGAACGCAAGGAUGGGGUCAAAUGUUGUCCUCAGUGCAAGACUAGAUACAAGAGGCCGAAAGGUAGCCCCCGAGUUCCGGGAGAUGAGGAGGAAGAAGAUGUUGAUGACCUGGACAAUGAGUUCAACUACAAGCAAGGGAAUGGCAAAGGUCCAGAGUGGCAGCUGCAGGGUCAAGGAGAAGACAUUGAUUUGUCUUCAUCCUCUCGUCAUGAACCUAAUCAUCGUAUUCCUCGUCUGACAAGUGGACAACAGGGAAAUCCCUGAUGCUUCCCCUGAUCGCCACUCUAUCCGCAGCCCAACAUCAAGCUAUGUCGAUCCAAGUGUCCCAGUUCCUGUGAGGAUUGUGGACCCUUCGAAGGACUUGAACUCCUAUGGGCUUAACAGUGUUGACUGGAAGGAAAGAGUUGAAAGCUGGAGAGUUAAGCAGGACAAAAACAUGAUGCAGGUGACCAAUAAAUAUCCAGAUGCAAGAGGAGGGGGAGGAGAUAUGGAAGGAACUGGCUCAAAUGGUUAAGAUAUGCAAAUUGCUGUUGCAGUUUAAUGUCGAUUGGAAAUGACUCAAUGAAACAAAGAUAUUUGUACUACUGCGCGGCAUUGGAUCUGGGGUUUGGUCGUCUGGUCACUGGAUCUGGAGUCGCCGUAAAGCCAUGGAGAAGAUUCAUCCCGGACCUCCCACUACUGCUGCCGCUGCCGCAUCUCCUAGCUCCUGAACGACCAACAUCGCUACUCCAUGGGAUUCCGAUUCGCCGUCAUGCGAUUCUGCUGGAUGCAGUGCACCGGAUCCGGCAGGCGGUGGGGCUCGCCUGCGGCCUGCUAUGGGGCGUCGUUUCCCUCGUCGGCGUCUUCUGGAUCGCCCGGUGUAUUUAUUCAUGGAUUGGUUGCUGAUAGUGGAUUGUCGAGGGGCGUCAUCUUCUACGCUCGUCUCUCUUGCUGGCUUGCCCAUUCCUCUACUCAAGUAUGGAUGGAGGCGAGCAGAAAGGUAGUACGGGUUGGGCCUUGGUUUUCUAUAGCAUCAUGACUGUGAUUUCCCUCUACAACCGGGCGUCCCACUGUCUAUAUAUGAAUAUUUAGUUGAGGAAUGCAUAGCUCUGUUGUUAUCUAUAUCUGAGUAUUAGUGAGCUGAUGAAUUGAUUAUAAGAGAUUACCAGAGGGUAGAGUCAUUUGCUGCAUGUAUAGAUAUAUACAUAUGAUGAUUUUCAUUCAACCAUGAGGUGAGGAAAUGCCAUAAGGUACUGCAAUGUUGGCAUGCAUGCUAACUUCUUGAUAUUUUGUGUCAGCUAUGUUGCGUUGUGUUUGCUCUCACGAUCCAAGUUUUGACGAAUUGUUUAAGUUUAAGGUGUGUUGGUUUGAUUUAUCUAAAAAAGUCAUACCUGCCCUUUCUCCUUUCAGUCAUAUACACCUCAUUUAUGCAAGUGAGACAAUUGAAUUCAGUAAAUAGUCUAUUCAUAACUAGGCUCAAUCUCAGAUAUACUACAAGCACGAGUUUGCAAAGGGUUUAAAACUCGGCUAUUUUAGAACAUGGUCCAAUGGAACUGUCAUAUGCAUUUUAUAUUAUUUUAAUCUUCCACCAAUUUACUUUGUUAGUAGCAAAAGGUAUCAUGGGAUUUAAUGGAUGAUACUCAUCAUGAGAGUAAGAGAGUAAAGAGUAGGUGUGAUACAUAAUUACAGUAUGUUUGUAGUCAGACUGCAUAUUUACACCAGUUUUAUUUUGGUGUAAGGUAUCAUGGGAUUUACUUUCUAUAAGUAUGCCAAGGAUAUCUUUUCCUGUGGCCCUUUUUGGCAAUUUUAGCAUGUUAUGUUAAGGCAUAUGGGUAAUACUGAUAAUAUUACAUAUAUUAGGUGCUUGUGCACACGUUACUUCUGCGGCAUAAUUGUCUCACAAGUAAAUUUGAAAUGAAUCUUUUGUUGAUCUUCAGUUGGCAGCCCCUCACUGUUGCACAUUGCUGCAUUUGUAGUACCCCAAGCUGGUCCAAGUAGAGGACAAAAGGUGGUUAUCUCUUUUGUUGCAGCUAAUAUAUAUGAUUGAUUAAUGUCCACAGAUUUUUGCUGAAAUGAUCAUGAGAUAUUAUGUCUGACAAAAUGCUCAUGAGAGGAUAAGGUGCAUAGGUCACACAGAACACUAUCUGUAAUAAAGAGCAAGGUUUCCUUAUGGUGUCGAGUGUUCUGUGCUGCCUAUUGUUACCAGCUUCUUCCUUUGUUUGCUAACUAUUGUUGCUCAUGCAUUGCUGUCAUUCCAAGGUACCAUAUUUCUGUAAGCAUUUGGGGCUUCAGGUUCAAUCAUCGGAGGGGGACUGUGUAUCACAUGAGGAAUGCAGUGACAAAAGAGCAUGUUACUUUAUUGGAGGAGCUGUGAUUUUCUUCUUUUAAUAGAUCAGUCUUGCACUCAGUCGUCGAUGAAGUAUUCACGUGUACAGUUUACUAUGUUUGGACUGCAGCUCCUAAUAUAAUUUGUCUUUGUUUAAUGUCUA